rnacentral:siRNA from 1 species
CCGCGGUACACUGCGAGAC